CUGGCUCAGGAUUAACGCUGGCAGCAUGCCUAAUACAUGCAAGUCGAAUGGGAAAGCUUGCUUCCCAUGGCGAACGGGUGAGUAACACGUAGGUAACCUACCUUAAGGACGAGGAUAACCUUUGGAAACGAAGGAUAAUACUGGAUAGGACAUUAUAAAGCACAUGCUUAAAUGUUUAAAGGAGCAAUCCACCAUAAGAGGGGCCUGCGGCGCAUUAGCUAGUUGGUGAGGUAAGGGCCCACCAAGGCGAUGAUGCGUAGCUGGACUGAGAGGUUGAACAGCCACAAUGGGACUGAGAACGGCCCAUACUCCUACGGGAGGCAGCAGUAGGGAAUUUUCGGCAAUGGGCAAAAGCCUGACCGAAGCAAUGCCGCGUGAACGAAGAAGUAUUUCGGUAUGUAAAGUUCUUUUAUCAGGGAAGAAAAAACAAAUUGACUGAACCUGAUGAAUAAGCUCCGGCUAACUACGUGCCAGCCGCUGC
rnacentral:rRNA from 1 species